rnacentral:tmRNA from 1 species
GGGGAUGUCAGGUUUCGACAGGGCUCAGGGACCGGGAAUCGCAGGUCGAGGUCGCCCGCAGGCCUCGUUAAACCGCGGGCAAAGCCAGUAACUGGCAAUAACAGUUACGCUCUCGCCGCCUAAAUAGCGUCGAGCGUCGACACGGCCUCCCCCUCUGGGCCGUGAAGACGUCAUCAGGAGGGGUGCGGCGUCGCCGACUCCGGUGAGCGGCGUCAAAGAGCCGAGAGGCAUCGCCGGAUAGCAAGCGAAGCACCCCGCCGGUUGGGGGCUCGCAGCGCGAAUCGCAAGUAAGCCGGAAAUACCUGUAGGAAGUUCCCGGCGACUCGGUUCUGGACGGGGAGUUCGAUUCUCCCCCAUCUCCACCA